rnacentral:tRNA from 1 species
GCUAUACAAGUAUUCAAUAUAAAUAUAAGUGUAAAUUAUAAAGUAAAUUACAUUG